GGGAAGGUGGCUCAGUGGUAGAGUGCUUGCCUUGCAUGCAUGAGGGCCUGGGUUCGAUUCCUCAGCCCCA
rnacentral:tRNA from 1 species